UUCAUAGGCACUUUCAUGCUCAUCUUUGCAGGAGCAUCCACAGCCAUUGUGAACCAAAAGACACAAGGCUCUGAAACCCUACUCGGCCUCGCCGCCUCCAAUGGCCUGGCUGUCAUGAUCAUCAUACUGUCGACCGGCCACAUAUCGGGAGCCCAUCUCAACCCUUCUGUUACCAUUGCCUUUGCAACCUUCAAACACUUCCCAUGGAAACUUGUAAAAUUUGCUAGCUAGCUCUACCUAAGUCCCAGCAUGCAUGCAUAUCCCUAGUUACUAUAUAUAUUUUGUAUAUACACUUGACAAUAUAUAGGGUUCAAUGUGAUGGUAGGUGCCGGUGUACAUUGGGACACAAGUGAUGGCAUCAUUGGCUGCAUCAUUUGUACUCAAGUUGAUUUUCCACCCUUCAAUGGGUGGAGGAGUCACUGUUCCUUCUGGGGACAAUGGACAAGCUUUUGCUAUGGAGUUCAUUAUUAGCUUCAUCCUCAUGUUUGUCGUUACUGGAGUGACCACCGACUCUAGAGCUGUAAGCAAUCCUUAUUCCAUGUGUGUGUGUAUAUGAUAAUACUUGUCUCCUCACCAUUGAAGUAGAACUCUCUCACGAGGAUGAUAUACGUAGCACUAUAAUGCUCCAUAAAUAAAUGAAAUAAAAGUCUCAUCCCUAUCCUCACUUGGUUCCAUCUUCUCCUUCUAUUUUUAUGUGAAUAGGGACUGAUGCGAACGUGAUGUCAACCACAUUAACGACAAUCAAUUCACACUCACAUAAAUUAAUCAGAGUUAUUCAAAUUUAAGAUUCCAAAUCAUUUUCCAAUCUUUAUUGAUAUGAGUGAAGAGGUAACUAUUGUACUCUUUGUUUACUACUCUCCAUUUCCGACUUAUGUGUUAGUACAUAAUUGGUCCGGGAUUUCCGGACCAAGUAAUAAUUUCUCAACAUUUUUUGAUCGCAUUACAGGUUGGCAGGCUGGCAGCAAUCGCAGUGGGAUCUACCGUCAUGCUAAACGUAUUAAUAGCCGGGAAAAUCACAGGAGCUUCAAUGAACCCAGUGAGAACUCUGGGGCCCGCCAUAGCUGCAAACAACUUCAAAGGGGUAUGGGUAUACCUCACUGCUCCAAUCCUGGGUGCGCUGUCGGGGGCAGCUGUUUACUCUGCUGUCAAGCUGCCAGAGAGAGAGGACGAUACAUAGCAUAACCUUUCAACACCACAACAUAUAUAUAUAUAUAUAUAUAUAUAUAUAUAUAUAUAUAUACAUGCCCUUAUAAAUAUUUGUGUAUUAAUCAAAUAUAUAUAAAUCAAGCAAGAGGAUGAUGGUUGGUGGUUGACUUAGUUUAAAAGGGAAUCAGAACAGGUGGUAUUGAGUGAUUUUAUUGUUUUCCAUAUUUUCCUUUUUGUGUUGCAGUUUCUGCUCUUUAGCUAUUGUUUUCUUAUUUGGGUUUUCGAUUUGCUCUUUAAUAAUGAUGUAAUAUAUUUAUUAUCAAUGUAUUUGUUUGAUCUUAAGCAUGGUUAUGCAUUC